rnacentral:rRNA from 1 species
UGGGGGAAUUUUGGACAAUGGGCGAAAGCCUGAUCCAGCAAUGCCGCGUGUGUGAAGAAGGCCUUCGGGUUGUAAACACUUUUGUCCGGAAAGAAAUCCUUGGCUCUAAUACAGUCGGGGGAUGACGGUACCGGAAGAAUAAGCACCGGCUAACUACGUGCCAGCAGCCNCGGUAAUACGUAGGGUGCAAGCGUUAAUCGGAAUUACUGGGCGUAAAGCGUGCGCAGGCGGUUUGCUAAGACCGAUGUGAAAUCCCCGGGCUCAACCUGGGAACUGCAUUGGUGACUGGCAGGCUAGAGUAUGGCAGAGGGGGGUAGAAUUCCACGUGUAGCAGUGAAAAUGCGUAGAGAUGUGGAGGAAUACCGAUGGCGAAGGCAGCCCCCUGGGCAAAUACUGACGCUCAUGCACG